AUUGAACGCUGGCGGCAGGCCUAACACAUGCAAGUCGAACGGACACAGGAAACAGUUUGCCGUCUCACUUACGCGUCGCGGAGGGGUGUGUAACGUCUGGGACACACCUUGAAGGCGGGGGUAAAUUACUGGAAACGGUAGCAAAUCCCGCAAAACGUUUCAACACCAUAGAUCAGUACUUUCGGACCUCUUUCCUUCCGCUGUGCCCUGAUGGGAUUAGCUAGUAGGUGGGGUAACGGCUCACCUAGGCGACGAUCCCUAGCUGGUCUGAGAGGAUGACCAGCCACACUGGAACUGAGACACGGUCCAGACUCCUACGGGAGGCAGCAGUGGGGAAUAUUGCACAAUGGGCGCAAGCCUGAUGCAGCCAUGCCGCGUGUAUGAAGAAGGCCUUCGGGUUGUAAAGUACUUUCAGCGGGGAUGAAGGGAGUAAAGUUAAUACCUUUGCUCAUUGACGUUACCCGCAGAAGAAGCACCGGCUAACUCCGUG
rnacentral:rRNA from 1 species